ensembl:lncRNA
GUCUCAACACAGCUGCCGUGGAAUUCCUCCUCGUGCCAUUCUGAGCCUAACUUACCGGCCUUCUUCUUGGCAGCAAUGUGGUCAGAGGAUGAAGAGCAAGCCUUCAUCGCUCCAACAUCACCAGUUUCCUCCAUCACCUCCAUUCCCUCAUCGGAGAGGAAACGCCGUCGUUCACGCCGCUGGCACCCCUUAACUCAGCCAGAUUCUGGGACUUCUGAGCAGCCGGCUGGGAUCACAAAGGUUUGCAGAAAGCUGGACAAGCACAGCAGGAGAAGGUCAGGCAGAAGUGGUAAACACACAGCAAUGGAGGAACUGUACACAAAUAAAUUAAACUGAGAC